CCAUUGUGUGUAUGUGCCAUAAUUUGUUUAUCCAUUCAUCUGUUGAUGGACAUUUGGUUGGUUUGUACUUUGGGCUAGUGUGAAUAGAGCUGCUAUGAACACUCAUGUACAGAUUCAGAGUAAUCUUACACACACACACACACACACACACACAUGCACAUCUGAUCACGACCUUCUACCUUAACAGAGGAUGGGGAAAACCUUGUAAGGGCGAAAGAGACCUGAGGCUGAAACAGUCUGUCAAUUCUGGUGAUGGGCGGAAGUCAACUCAAGCAGCUGGGUGGCAUUAUGAAAAGAAACUUUGAGUUUCUAAACAGUGUGACACUUCUUGUGGUGAGAGCUGAGCACCCAGCUGGGUCCUCUACUCCUGGCGGAACCAGAAAAUGCCAGGUAUUCCUAAGGGAAAAGCCACUAGAAAUCACACCACAGGGACAUGAACCAGAAGAUGCAAGUAUUUCCUUGCUGGAAGUUCUUUAGAAAUCGCUAAUGCCAACCCUCUUCUUUGACAAAUCAGGAAACGGAGGCUCCAGCUACAGAGAUGGGAGGGUUCUCCGAUGUGGAUGUUCAGCGUGUGCUCUCUGAACAGUGGGUGAAAGCCUGGAGUCUGUGUCAGGGCAGCUUUUUUUUCCCUUCUUCUCCCAAAGUCCCCCAGAACAUAGUUGUGUAUUCUAGUUGUGGGUCCUUUCUUCUAGUUGUGGCAUGUGGGAUGCCGCCUCAGCAUGGCCUGACCAGUGGUGCCAUGUCCUCGCCCAGGAUCCGAACCGGCGAAACCCUGGGCCGCCGAAGCGGAGCGCGAACUUAACCACUCGGCCACGGGGCCGGCCCCAAGGCAGCUUCUGACCUAGGUCCAGCUGUAAUAUCAGAGAAAUGAUUUUUUCUCCACCCUUUUCCUCUCCCUGGUGCCAUCACCACCCAGCUACCUGGAAAUCUACACCACGGUGUCCCAUCUCUAUCUACUCUCUGAAACACUGCCUUAGAACCCAAACUUCUCCUUUCCUUCCUUCUCCCUCUUCUUUCUGUUAUUAAUUGUUUACUUUGAUGAUCUGUUGAAGGCAGUGAACUCUCUCAGAAAACAAUACAUGCACGCACACAACUUUGCAUUAAAUUGAAGACAGUUUUCGGACCGCCAGAAGCCUGAUGCACCUCUCCCAAUUUAAGAACUCUUGUUUUCUGCCUUUCUCCCACCAAGCAGUCAUGGGGGAAAGCAGUCAGAAAGUUUAAGUUUUGCACUGAAAAGGAUUGCCAACCCGGAUUCCCCACAAAGCAAAGCCUGAGACAAAGGCUUUACAGCAAGAGCUUGAUUGGGAAGUGUGGUCCCACGGAGACGGAGGCCGGUGGCGUGAAGGAUGCAUUAUGGAGUGUGCCAGCCUAUAGGAGGUGGGGCAUGCACCGGCCUGGAUGGCACAACCUGCGAGCCCUGCAGAUAUCUGAGGAAUCCCAAGCUGAGACAUCAGCAAAGAAGCUCUGCGGUGAGUGUUGAGAGAUGCAGGACGGCAGCCUGCGAUGAGGCACAGCUGUUGUACCUGCAUGAAGCUGGUCUGAGCUCUCCCUGAGCUGAUCCCCACAGCAGAGGCCGGGAUAACACACAGGUGUGGCUAAAAGGCUCUGCAGCUAUACAUAGGAGGUAUCUGAUAUAGGGAUCUUAGAGAUGGUCUAAAUCAUCUUUUUCAUUUAUCUGAUAAGCUAAC
ensembl:lncRNA